CAGGCGUGAGCCACCUUGCCCGGCCAAGAUGAGCAGGCAAGAAGAACCUGUUGGAUGAUUACAACAUUGCUGGAUUGAUAGCAGCCUCGUCUGCCAGGCUCAAACUCCAGAUCCAAAGUCCACAAAUAUAUCAUAAAUCUGAAGAGGACCUGGGAGAAGCUUCUGCUGGCAGCUCAUGCCAUUGUUGCCAUUGAAAACCCUGCUGAUGUGUCAUAUCCUGCAGGAAUACUGGCUAGUGGGCUGUGCUGAAGUUUGCUGCUGCCACUGGAGCCACAUGUAUUGCUGGUCACUUCACUUGGGGAACCUAUGCUAACCAGAUCCAAUCAUCUGCCACCCACAUCUUCUGGUGGUUACUGAUUCGAGGGCUAACUAUCAGCCUCUCUCAGGGGCUUCUUAUGGUAACCUACCUACCAAUGCUGUAUGUAACAGAUUCUCCUCUGAGCUAUGUGGAUAUUGUCAUCCCAUGCAACAACAAGGAAGCUCAAUCACUGAGUCUAAUGUAGUGGAUGCUGGCCCAGGAAGCUCUGUGCGUGUGUUGCCCCAUCUCCCAUGAUCAUGCCUGAUCUCUACUUCUGUAGAGAUCUUGAAGAGAUUGAAAAGGAAGAGUAGGCUGCAGCUGAAAAAGGAGGAAUUUCAAAGUGAAUGGACUGCUCUAGUGCAAGUUUACUGCUACCCAAUCUGAGGUUGCAGACUGGUUUAAAGGCAUGCAGGUGCCCUCUGUGCCUAUUCAGCAGUUCCCUACUGAAGAUUGGAGCACUCAGCCUACCAUGAAUGACUGGUCUGCAACUCCCACUGCUCAGACCACUGAAUGGGUAAGAAUAACCACUGAGUGGCCUUAAGCUGUUCUUCCACAAGCUCGUAAACAAGAUGGAAAUAACGCUGAUGGAAAUAAACAACAGUUUCCAAGAAAAAACGAACAGCUGAAGUGAGUGGCAAUGUUUAAAUAACAUCUGGUAGACUUUAACAUGAAUGUUAUUAAGCAGGAAAUUAUGAUCUUUUAAGUUGGAACAUGUAAUGUUAAUCCUUUUGCACCAAAAUAUCUCUUUAAGUCUAAAUUAUCCACUUUUUUUUUUAAUUCUUCAUAGAGAUAGAGGUCGCUUUGUUGCCCAGGCUGUUCUUGGCUUCCUAACUUCAAGCAAUCCUCCUGCCUCAGCCUCCCAGAGUGCUGGGAUUACAGGCAUGUGCCACCGUGCCUGGUGUACCCAGUUUCUGUUAUCAACAGGAUGCAGUGGUGUAUGGUUGCUAAAGAAGGGUCCCAAGAUCAGGACCUACAUUAAGGUGGAUUUUGAAAUAUUUAACAUUCUGAUUUUGUUUUAUUUUUAAUUUAUCUUUAGGGGAAGGAUGGGAGGGGGGUGAGGGUUGAAGAAGUAAACAUUGUACCUAUUGGAUACAAUGUUUAAUAUUUGUGUAAUGGGCACACUGGAAGCCCAAACCUCACUAUUACACAAUACAUUCAUGUAACAAGCCUGCACAUGCACCUCCUGAAUCUAUUUUUAAAAAUUUAAUUCUCAAGCACAGACUCCCUUUUUUUGGUAAGACGGCAGGGUACGACUUAACUACUCGCAUCACGCACCUUUUGGAUCAGCAUCUAGUCUUUCCGCUCCUUGAGUUUCUCUCUGUAAAGGAGAUAUAUAAUGAAAAGGAAUUAUUGCAAGGUAAAUUGGACGUUCUUAGUGAUACCACAUGGUAGACUUUGCUAUGGAUGUAUACAAAAACCUUUAUUCUGAUGAUAUUCCUCAUGCUUUGAGAGAGAAUAGAACCACAGUUGUUGCACAACUGAAACAGCUUCAGGCAGAAACAGAACUAAUUGUGAAAAUGUUUGAAGAUCCAGAAACGACAAGGCAAAUGCAGUCAAACAGGGAUGCUAGGAUGCUCUUUGACUACCUGGCGGACAAGCAUGGUUUUAGGCAGGAGUAUUUAGAUACACUCUACACAUAUGCAAAAUUCCAAUAUGAAUGUGGGAAUUACUCAGGAGCAGCAGAAUAUCUUUAUUUUUUCAGAGUGUUGGUUCCAGCAACAGAUAGAAAUGCUGUAAGUUCAUGCUGGGGAAAGCUGGCCUCUGAAAUCUUACAGCAGAAUUGGGAUGCAGACAUGGAAGACCUUACAUGGUUAAAAGAGACCAUAGAUAAUAAUUCUGUGAGUUCUCCACUCCAGUCUCUUCAGCAGAGAGCAUGGCUUGUUCACUGGUCUCUGUUUUCUUUAAUCAUCCCAAAGGUUGUAAUAAUAUUAUUGAUAUCUUCCUUUACCAGCCACAGUAUCUUAAUGCAAUUCAGACAAUGUGUCCACACAUUCUUCACUAUUUGACUACAGCAGUCAUAACAAACAAGGAUGUUCGAAAACGUUGGCAAGUGCUAAAAGAUCCAGGUAAAGUUACUCAACAGGAGUCUUACACAUAUAAAGACCCAAUUACAGAAUUUGUUGAAUGCUUAUAUGUUAACUUUGACUUUGAUGGGGCUAAGAAAAAGCUGAGAGAAUGUGAAUCGGUGCUUGUGAAUGACUUCUUCUUGGUGGCUUGUCUUAAGGAUUUCAUUGACAAUGCCCAUCUCUUCAUAUUUGAGACUUUCUGUCACAUCCACCAGUAAAUCGGCAUUAACAGGUUGGCAGACAAAUUGAACAUGACUCCAGAUGAAACUGAAAGGUGGAUUGUAAAUUUGAUUAGAAAUGCAAGACUGGAUGCCAAGAUUGAUUCUAAAUUAGGUCAUGUGGUUAUGGUAACAGUGCACUCUCACCCUAUCAGCAAGUGAUUGAAAAGACCAAAAGCCUUUCUUUUAGAAGCUAGGUGUUGGCCAUGACUAUUGAGAAGAAACUUAAUGAGAAUAGCAGGUCAGAGGCUCCUAACUGGGCAACUCAAGAUUCUGGCUUCUACUGAAGAAACAUAAGGAAAAGAUUUUUUAAAAACUCUAAAAGAAAGAUGAAAUAAUAAAACUAUUCUAUAAAGGGUGACUUACAUUUUGGAAACAACAUAUUGAGUAUAAAUUGUGAAGAAUUGGAAUAAAAUUGACUAUGAUUCAAAAAAAUUUAAUUCACAAAAUUUUAAUCCUUUUGAGCUAAUUGUAGAUUCACAUACAGUUGUAAGAAGUUACAAAGAGGCUAGGUGCAGUAGCUGACGCCUGUGAUCCCAGCACUUUGGGAGGCCGAGGCAGGCAGAUCUCUUGAGGCCAGGAGUUUGAGACUAGCC